AAAGAGUGAUAUAUUUCAGUUACGUUGAAUGAGACCCUUAGGGCACUCUUU
rnacentral:tRNA from 1 species